AAGAUGGUCCAGCGGGUGGUGUGGGAUGGAGUGGGGUGGGUGCUCACAAUUGCAUCAUGGCUCCACUUUUGGUGGCGGUUACACAACCAUGGCACUCGUUCAGAAGCGGCGAAGGCCACAAUAAAAGUCUUCUUGCAAAUCAAAGGAGCAGGCCGGGAGUGGUGUUUACACAUCUCACUAAGCCCACCCUUACCCUCUUACAGGGUAUGUGCCCACCGCCAUUGUGCCGUCAUGUGAUCCGAGGCCCGGUUUAAAAGCUUACCCGGGCCCGGGUCAGGGGACAGCGUGGUGCGUUUCCCACUCCUCCACAUCUCCAAGGAGCUUCUGGUCCCGUGCAGGUGCUUUGUUUUGCAACAUGUCGGACGGCGAGGAGGCGUACGAGGAAAACCGUAAGUCUAUUGAUGCAUGCAUCACAUAAUAAAUGCAAAAUGAUGCAUUUCGGAAGCCUGACAGCAUAAUUGCUUAAGUCGUUUUUGAAAUAUUUUCAGAAAACCAUGAAAAGAUAAACACACAAAGAAAAAAAUUCAAAACAAACAGAAAACACACCAUUUUCUAGCAAGCAUGUUUGUAUUUUGUUUGUUGAUAUUGUGACAGUAAGUUAAAAAUAACUUGGCCAAUUAUGCUAUUAGACUUACAAUAAUGAUCAUAUGUGUUAUGAUGUGUAUAUGCAAUUUUUAUAGAUUAAAAUGUAUGCUUUUAUGGAUUUAAUGUUUAAAAUGGGUUAUUAUAUGAUAUAUUGAAUCAUUUUUUAAUGAAAUUUUACAUUGAAUUAUUAUUUUAUGACAUUAUAUUUCUAAUUAUGUAUUUCAAUUAAGCUACAUAUAUUUUUCAAAAAAGGUAAAAAUAAGUUAACCACUAAUAAUAUGAAAAAAUCAACACCAAAUAAAAGGGUAAAAAUGGUCAUUCUUAAAUGUCAUUCAAGAGUAAAGUUAUGAAAUGAUACCAAUUUAUUUUUGUUUCAUAUCAAUAUGCAUGUAUUUGAUUUAUUUUUAAUUAUUACCUCAUAUUAUUUCAAUUUCAAUUAUUUCAAGAAUUUUAAAUUUUAGCUCAAAUAAUUGAAAAAAAACAUUUGCAAAAAUGAGCUCACCACUCAGUGAUGAUAACAAUAAUAUCUUUGUAUGAUUUAAAUUAUCAUCAAUAUCACUGAAUAAAACAGAAAAAAACAUAGUAAAUGACUAAAUAAUCCAUUUAUCGUAUUAAACUUUAAAUUAUUUAAAUAUUAUAUUUAUAUUUGAACCAAGCCAGUGUUUUUAAUAAUUAUUAUACUACAGUAAAUAAUCAAUGUUGAUCAACAUUCUUAACUGUCAUAGAAGUGUAAAAAAUUGGAUAACCACUCAUUAUAAUAAUAAUGACACAUUUUAUAGGUGAUGUAUAAAAACAUCUACACUGAAUAAAACGGUAAAAUUAAUAUUGUAUUAAAUAAAUAUAAAAUACAUAUUCUUAACUGCAAUGCAAUAAAAAAUAAUAUAGUUCAUAUUGUGUAUCAUCAAUAAAAAAAAUCGGGGAAAAAAUGUUAGUGAUACACAUUUUUACCUGUCAUACAAGUGCAAAAAAUUCACUCCUCGUCUUAACAGUAAGGUGACAAUAUAACGUUAUGUAUUGUCGAUUUCGGGCUUGUAAGCACCCAUGAAGUCACAUUUCCAACUUCCACAAAUACACGCGCGGUUCCUUGUUUUCGAAGCUCACUGAUCUGCGCUUGUUUGCUGUGCAGCCCCUCCAAUCAGCUGCUGGUGUUUUUCCUGCCACUUGAUUUGCUGCUUUACGUGCUAAUCCGCCGGCUUCCCGGUGCUCUUUUUGUAUUUUUGUCCCGCUGCCACUGUCCAGGCAGCUGCGCCUGUCCACCGCGUUGACCUUUAUCCCCCGCUGCAGUGGUUCCCAAAACCGGUUACAUCAAGUAGUACUAUCUCAAAGUACAACAACAACAAAAAAGUUAACAAAAGUUGUCCUGCACUUAACAAUUGUACUGGAUUGAAUAAAAAAAUAAAGUUCAAGCCAAUGUAAAACUAUGCACAGUUGAAACAUUUUAAUUCAGUGAUUCUUUCAUGUUCCACUAGAGGGAGCCAGAGUACCACUCCCAGUACAAGUACUACACUUUGAGAAUCAUUACAAGUUUCUGCGGCUUCCAAAAACAAGCACGCUAGGUUUAUUGAAGACUCUAAAUUGGCUGUCGGUGUGAAUGUGAGAGUGCAUGGUUGUUUGUCUGUAAAGUGCCCUACGAUUGGCCACUGACUAGACCAGGUUGUACUCAAGCCUGGUUGGAAGUACGGCAUCCCGUUGCGAUAACGCGGUCUUUAAAACGUUUUAAAAGUAACAUUUGAAUUCUUGAAUAUCUUACAAGUGGAACAUUUCAAGCUAAAGUAACUCAUUUGAAAGAUGUUUUAAUGGAUGCUAUGAUAUAUAAAAUUAGGAUUUUAUAUCAUUUGAUUUGAAAAGAAUUUAAUAGUUUUCGGCUUUAAUUACAUUUCAAAACAAUUAAAAAAAACAAGUUUAAAGUUAAAAUUUAGAAUGCUCAAUUUAAUGGAUGAUAUUCUAUAUUACAUCAUUAUUCAUAUUAUGUACUGUAUUAUUAAAUUAUUUUAUUUUAACUACAUC